GCCUACGGGUGGCAGCAGUGGGGAAUAUUGGGCAAUGGGAGAAAUCCUGACCCAGCAACGCCGCGUGGAGGACGAAGGCCUUCGGGUUGUAAACUCCUGUCAGCAGGGAAAAAGGCUACAAAAGCUAAUACCUUUUGUAGUUUGAUGGUACCUGCAGAGGAAGCACCGGCUAACUACGUGCCAGCAGCCGCGGGAAUACGUAGGGUGCAAGCGUUAUUCGGAAUCACUGGGCGUAAAGGGCGGGCAGGCGGUUUUGUAAGUUGAAAGUGAAAUCCUUGGGCUUAACCCAAGGGCUGCUUUAGAUACUGCAUAACUAGAGUUCGGGAAAAGCAAGCGGAAUUCCUGGUGAAGGGGUGAAAUCCGUAGAUAUCAGGAAGAACACCAGUGGCGAAAGCGGCUUGCUAGAACGCAACUGACGCUUAGGCGCGAAAGCGUGGGGAGCAAACAGGAUUAGAUACCCUUGUAGUCA
rnacentral:rRNA from 1 species